rnacentral:tRNA from 1 species
GCAUUGGUAGCUCAGUGGUAGAAUUCUUGCCUUCCAUGAGGGAGACCCAGGUUUGAUUCUUGGCCAAUGCA